UCCCAUGUAGCUCACUUGGUAGAGCAUGGCUCUUGCAACGCCAGGGUUGUGGGUUUGAUUCCCACAUUGGAC
rfam:Salmo salar isolate Sally breed double haploid chromosome ssa11, whole genome shotgun sequence.